GACGAACGCUGGCGGCGUGCUUAACACAUGCAAGUCGAACGGAAAGGCCCCCUUGUGGGGUACUCGAGUGGCGAACGGGUGAGUAACACGUGAGUAACCUACCCUUGACUUUGGGAUAACUUCAGGAAACUGGGGCUAAUACCGGAUAGGAGCUCCUGCUGCAUGGUGGGGGUUGGAAAGUUUCGGCGGUUGGGGAUGGACUCGCGGCUUAUCAGCUUGUUGGUGGGGUAGUGGCUCACCAAGGCUUUGACGGGUAGCCGGCCUGAGAGGGUGACCGGCCACAUUGGGACGGAGAUACGGCCCAGACCCCUACGGGGGGCAGGGGGGGGGAAUUUUGCAAAAUGGGGGGAAGCCGGAGGCAGAAACGCCGCGGGGGGGAUGACGGCCUUGGGGUUGUAAACCGCUUUCCCCUGGGACGAAGCGGGAGUGACGGUAAUGGGUAAAGAAGCACGGGCUAACUACGU
rnacentral:rRNA from 1 species